UGCGUAGGCGGUGCGGUAAGUCUUCUGUGAAACCUCCGGGCUUAACUCGGAGCCUGCAGGGGAAACUGCCGUGCUGGAGUAUGGGAGAGGUGAGUGGAAUUCCCGGCGUAGCGGUGAAAUGCGUAGAUAUCGGGAGGAACACCUGUGGCGAAAGCGGCUCACUGGACCAUUACUGACGCUGAUGCACGAAAGCUAGGGGAGCAAACAGGAUUAGAUACCCUGGUAGUCCUAGCCCUAAACGAUGAUCGCUUGGUGUGACAGGUAUCCAAUCCUGUCGUGCCGGAGCUAACGCGUUAAGCGAUCCGCCUGGGGAGUACGGUCGCAAGGCUGAA
rnacentral:rRNA from 1 species